rnacentral:rRNA from 1 species
UACGUAGGGUGCAAGCGUUGUCCGGAAGUAUUGGGCGUAAAGAGCUUGUAGGCGGUUUGUCGCGUCUGCUGUGAAAUUUCGGGGCUCAACCCCGAACUUGCAGUGGGUACGGGCAGACUAGAGUGUGGUAGGGGAGACUGGAAUUCCUGGUGUAGCGGUGAAAUGCGCAGAUAUCAGGAGGAACACCGAUGGCGAAGGCAGGUCUCUGGGCCACUACUGACGCUGAGAAGCGAAAGCAUGGGGAGCGAACAGG